rfam:Pterocles gutturalis contig5968, whole genome shotgun sequence.
CAGCAUCCUUUGAUAGACCGUGAGCACUUUUCCUGUUGCUCUCUGGUUUGCACUAAGAUGCAAAAAUAACUUCCUUGCGCUUUCUGCCUGCCUGACUAUGGCAGCUCAGAUUGAAUUAGGGAAUACACAG